rnacentral:lncRNA from 1 species
AUCGCCGCGCCGGCCGCCAACGGCCACUGCAACGGUCCCUACCGGGGAGGGCCGGCUUUUGCCGGCUUCCGGAGAAGGGAGGAAAGAGAGAGGUUUACCUAACACUGUAAAGAGAACGUUCAAUGAAAUACAAAGAAAAAGAUGAUUUUUUUGCUCCAAGAGAAUUAUUCCAGCCUUGGGGUGGAGUGGGUGUGGACAGUGAGCAGAAAAACAAGAAACCAAGUUCUGGGAGGAAAUAAAAUGAAUAUAAUCAGUGGAAAAUUCAGCAACGCAAUAUUGUGUGACAACAGUAAAUGACCAAUUUAUAAUUUAAAUUCUAUGAAAAAGAGAUUUAGAAGAGAGUUCUACCAAACCCACUGUUCCCUAGGGAAUAAAAUGAGUAACGCUGACUGGCAACAGUGCAUCCUGAGGGAGCCUGGAGAAACAACAGCAGCCUCCGACCUCAAGAUAUCCUGGUAGUGCUGUGACAGUGUCUUAAGUAGGGCAUGUUGAUAGAUGGAAAAGGACGGCAAACUCGAGGUGCUGAUUCAGGAAGAAGCAGAUUCCAAGAUGGAAGAGAAAAUAUCGAGAGAAAUAUGCCGAGAGAAGAAUCCAGGCAGAAUGGAAUCCAGGCAGAAUGGUGAAUGGAAGGUUCGGGUGACCAAGAGAAAGGAAGGGUGACUCAGCAAGUCUGUAGUUUCAGCUCUUGUAUAGUACGUUAUACUUGAAAAGCUGAAGCCUUUUCUCGGGGAAGAGUCAGAACGGCCUGGAGGGCUUGCUAAAGCGCUGCUGGCUGGGCCCCGCCCGCUGAAUGACUAAUGGAGACUCUGAGGGCCGGCUGGUAAUUUGAGUUUCUAACAAGCCCUGUUUCGAUGCUGGUACAGCCGAUCUAGGGAAAAUAUUGGAACAAGGAAAAAACUAAGAAGAAAUUUUAAAAAGUAAUCAAAGGCGGCCAAGUGAGGUGGCUCACGCCUGUGAUCCUAGCGCUUUGGGAGGCCGAGGCGGGCAGAUAUCUGAGGUCAGGGGUUUGAAGACCAACAUGGAGAAACCACGUCUCUACUAGAAAUACGAAAACUAGCCAGGCGUGGUGGCUAAUGCCUGUAAUCCUAACUAGUCAGGAGGCUGAGGCAGAGGAGUCGCUUGAACCCAGGAGGGGGAGGUUGCAGUGAGCCGAGAUCGCGCCACUGCACUCCAGCCU